rnacentral:rRNA from 1 species
UACGAAGGGGGCUAGCGUUGCUCGGAAUCACUGGGCGUAAAGCGCACGUAGGCGGAUUGCUAAGUCAGGGGUGAAAUCCUGGAGCUCAACUCCAGAACUGCCUUUGAUACUGGCGAUCUCGAGUCCGGGAGAGGUGAGUGGAACUGCGAGUGUAGAGGUGGAAUUCGUAGAUAUUCGCAAGAACACCAGUGGCGAAGGCGGCUCACUGGCCCGGUACUGACGCUGAGGUGCGAAAGCUAGGGUAGCAAACGGG